rnacentral:rRNA from 1 species
CCCCUAGAUGUUCUGGGCCGCACGCGCGCUACACUGAACAGUUCAACAAAUCUUAACCUUGGCCGAUAGGUCUGGGUAAUCUUUGAACGCUGUUCGUGAUUGGGAUAGACCUUUGCAAUUAUGGGUCUUCAACGAGGAAUUCCUAGUAAACGCAAGUCAUCAGCUUGCAUUGAUUACGUCCCUGCCCUUUGUACACACCGCCCGUCGCACCUACCGAUUGAAUGGUCCGGUGAAAUCUCGGGACGGCGGCUUGGUCGCUUGCGUCCGACUGCUGAAACUUGAUUAAACCAUAUCAUUUAGAGGAAGGUGAAGUCGUANCA